AAACCAACAGGGAUUGCCUCAGUAACGGCGAGUGAAGCGGCAAAAAGCUCAAAUUUGAAAUCCCCCCGGGGAAUUGUAAUUUGAAGAUUGUGUUUUGGAAACGACCGUGUCUAUGUUCCUUGGAACAGGACGUCACAGAGGGUGAGAAUCCCGUGCGGCACGGCCACCGUUUCCUUAUAAAACACUCUCGACGAGUCGAGUUGUUUGGGAAUGCAGCUCAAAGUGGGUGGUAAAUUCCAUCUAAAGCUAAAUACAGGCGAGAGACCGAUAGCGAACAAGUACAGUGAUGGAAAGAUGAAAAGCACUUUGAAAAGAGAGUGAAACAGUACGUGAAAUUGUUGAAAGGGAGGGCAUGCCGUCAGAUUGUCAGUGUGGGUAAGAGCGGGGUACAAAGACUGUGGAACGUGGCCCUCGGGUGUUAUAGCCACAGUUCAUCCCCCGUCUCUUUCCGAGGCCUGCUUUGAGGACACCGACGUAAUGACGGUACGCCGCCCGUCUUGAAACACGGA
rnacentral:rRNA from 1 species